rnacentral:precursor_RNA from 15 species
GCUUCUAGGUCUCACUGGGCUCUGCCUCCUGUGCCUACUGAGCUGAAACACAGUUGCUUUGGAUAAACUGGCUCAGUUCAGCAGGAACAGGAGUCUGGCCCUCUCCAGGAGACACCUGCC